rnacentral:tRNA from 1 species
GGCAGUUUAGCUUAAUGGUAGAGCACUUGGCUGGAGUCUUCAAGAGAUGUGAGUUUGUGUCCCAUGGCAGUUU